rnacentral:rRNA from 1 species
UUGUCCUACGGGGGGCAGCAGUGGGGAAUAUUGGGCAAUGGGCGCAAGCCUGACCCAGCAACGCCGCGUGAAGGAAGAAGGCUUUCGGGUUGUAAACUUCUUUUGACAGGGAAGAGCAGAAGACGGUACCUGUCGAAUAAGCCACGGCUAACUACGUGCCAGCAGCCGCGGUAAUACGUAGGUGGCAAGCGUUGUCCGGAUUUACUGGGUGUAAAGGGAGCGUAGACGGAAAGGCAAGUCAGAAGUGAAAGCCCAAGGCUCAACCAUGGGACUGCUUUUGAAACUGUCAAACUAGAGUACGGGAG